UUAAGUUAGAAAGGGCGCACGGUGGAUGCCUUGACACUAGGAGUCGAUGAAGGACGGGACUAACGCCGAUAUGCUUCGGGGAGCUGUAAGUAAGCUUUGAUCCGAAGAUUUCCGAAUGGAAACCCACCAUACGUAAUGGUAUGGUAUCCUUAUCUGAAUACAUAGGGUAAGGAAGACAGACCCAGGAACUGAAACAUCUAAGUACCUGGAGGAAGAAAGCAAAUGCGAUUUCCUGAGUAGCGGCGAGCGAAACGGAACAUAGCCCAAACCAAGAGGCUUGCCUCUUGGGGUUGUAGGACAUUCUAUACGGAGUUACAAGGAACGAGGUAGACGAAGCGACCUGGAAAGGUCCGUCGUAGAGGGUAACAACCCCGUAGUCGAAACUUCGUUCUCUCUUGAAUGUAUCCUGAGUACGGCGGAACACGUGAAAUUCCGUCGGAAUCUGGGAGGACCAUCUCCCAAGGCUAAAUACUCCUAGUGAUCGAUAGUGAACCAGUACCGUGAGGAAGGUGAAAAGCACCCCGGAAGAGUGAAGAGAUCCUGAAACCGUGUGCCUACAAAUAGUCAGAGCCCGUUAACGGGUGAUGGCGUGCCUUUUGUAGAAUGAACCGGCGAGUUACGAUCCCGUGCGAGGUUAAGCUGAAGAGGCGGAGCCGCAGCGAAAGCGAGUCUGAAUAGGGCGUUUAGUACGUGGUCGUAGACCCGAAACCAGGUGAUCUACCCAUGUCCAGGGUGAAGUUCAGGUAACACUGAAUGGAGGCCCGAACGCACGUUGAAAGUGCGGGGAUGAGGUGUGGUAGCGGAGAAAUUCAAUCGAACCUGGAGAUAGCUGGUUCUCCCCGAAAUAGCUUUAGGGCUAGCCUUAAGUGUAAGAGUCUUGGAGGUAGAGCACUGAUUGGACUAGGGGUCCUCAUCGGAUUACCGAAUUCAGUCAAACUCCGAAUGCCAAUGACUUAUCCUUAGAGUCAGACUGCGAGUGAUAAGAUCCGUAGUCAAAGAAACAGCCCAGACCGCCAGCUAAGGUCCCAAAGUGUGUAUUAAGUGGAAAGGAUGUGUUGCUUAGACAACUAGGAUGUUGGCUUAGAAGCAGCCACCAUUUAAAGUGCGUAAUAGCUCACUAGUCGAGUGACUCUGCGCCGAAAAUGUACCGGGCUAAAUACACCACCGAAGCUGCGGAUUGAUACCAAUGGUAUCAGUGGUAGGGGAGCGUUCUAAGGACAGUGAAGUCAGACCGGAAGGACUGGUGGAGUGCUUAGAAGUGAGAAUGCCGGUAUGAGUAGCGAAAGACGGGUGAGAAUCCCGUCCACCGAAUGCCUAAGGUUUCCUGAGGAAGGCUCGUCCGCUCAGGGUUAGUCAGGACCUAAGCCGAGGCCGACAGGCGUAGGCGAUGGACAACAGGUUGAUAUUCCUGUACCACCUCUUUAUCGUUUGAGCAAUGGAGGGACGCAGAAGGAUAGAAGAAGCGUGCGAUUGGUUGUGCACGUCCAAGCAGUUAGGCUGAUAAGUAGGCAAAUCCGCUUAUCGUGAAGGCUGAGCUGUGAUGGGGAAGCUCCUUAUGGAGCGAAGUCUUUGAUUCCCCGCUGCCAAGAAAAGCUUCAGCGAGAUAAAGGUGCCUGUACCGCAAACCGACACAGGUAGGCGAGGAGAGAAUCCUAAGGUGUGCGAGAGAACUCUGGUUAAGGAACUCGGCAAAAUGACCCCGUAACUUCGGGAGAAGGGUGCUUUCGGAAAGCCGCAGUGAAUAGGCCCAAGCGACUGUUUAGCAAAAACACAGCUCUCUGCGAAGCCGUAAGGCGAAGUAUAGGGGGUGACACCUGCCCGGUGCUGGAAGGUUAAGGAGAGGGGUUAGCGUAAGCGAAGCUCUGAACUGAAGCCCCAGUAAACGGCGGCCGUAACUAUAACGGUCCUAAGGUAGCGAAAUUCCUUGUCGGGUAAGUUCCGACCCGCACGAAAGGUGUAACGAUUUGGGCACUGUCUCAACCAGAGACUCGGUGAAAUUAUAGUACCUGUGAAGAUGCAGGUUACCCGCGACAGGACGGAAAGACCCCGUGGAGCUUUACUGUAGCCUGAUAUUGAAUUUUGGUACAGUUUGUACAGGAUAGGCGGGAGCCAUUGAAACCAGCGCUAGCUUCGGUGGAGGCGCUGGUGGGAUACCGCCCUGACUGUAUUGAAAUUCUAACCUACGGGUCUUAUCGACCCGGGAGACAGUGUCAGGUGGGCUAAAGUGAGGCGCCCAGGUUCCUCAGAAUGGUUGGAAAUCAUUCGUAGAGUGCAAAGGCAUAGAGCUUGACUGCGAGACCCAAGUCGAGCAGGGACGAAAGUCGGGCUUAGUGAUCCGGUGGUUCCGCAUGGAAGGCCAUCGCUCAACGGAUAAAGCUACCCGGGAUAACAGGCUUAUCUCCCAAGAGUCCACAUCGACGGGGAGGUUUGGCACCUCGAUGUCGGCUCAUCGCAUCCUGGGGCUGUAGUCGGUCCCAAGGGUUGGGCUGUUCGCCCAUUAAAGCGGUACGCGAGCUGGGUUCAGAACGUCGUGAGACAGUUCGGUCCCUAUCCGUCGUGGGCGUAGGAAAUUUGAGAGGAGCUGUCCUUAGUACGAGAGGACCGGGAUGGACGCACCGCUGGUGUACCAGUUGUUCUGCCAAGGGCAUAGCUGGGUAGCUAUGUGCGGAAGGGAUAAGUGCUGAAAGCAUCUAAGCAUGAAGCCCCCCUCAAGAUGAGAUUUCCCAUAGCGUAAGCUAGUAAGAUCCCUGAAAGAUGAUCAGGUUGAUAGGUUCGAGGUGGAAGCAUGGUGACAUGUGGAGCUGACGAAUACUAAUAGAUCGAGGACUUAACCAU
rnacentral:rRNA from 1 species